rnacentral:rRNA from 1 species
CCUACGGGGUGCAGCAGUGGGGAAUAUUGCACAAUGGGGGAAACCCUGAUGCAGCGACGCCGCGUGAGUGAAGAAGUAUUUCGGUAUGUAAAGCUCUAUCAGCAGGGAAGAAAAUGACCGUACCUGACUAAUAAGCCCCGGCUAAAUACGUGCCAGCAGCCGCGGUAAUACGUAGGGGGCAAGCGUUAUCCGGAUUUACUGGGUGUAAAGGGAGCGUAGACGGUUGCGCAAGUCUGGAGUGAAAUCCCAGGGCUUAACCUUGGGACUGCUUUGGAAACUGGGCAGCUAGAGUGCAGGAGAGGUAAGCGGAAUUCCUAGUGUAGCGGUGAAAUGCGUAGAUAUUAGGAGGAACACCAGUGGCGAAGGCGGCUUACUGGACUGUAACUGACGUUGAGGCUCGAAAGCGUGGGGAGCAAACAGGAUUAGAUACCCGAGUAGUC